UGUGCUAUUGACAUUGAAGUCAGUACCCAAUAUGGACAUGAGGGCUCCUGUUCAGAUCCUUGGGCUCUUUUUGCUCUUGUUCCCAGGUAUCAGGUGUGACAUCCUGAUGACUCAGUCGCCAUCUUCCCUGUCUGUAUCUCUGGGAGAAAGAGUCACUCUCAGUUGCCGGUCCAGUGAGGAUAUUAGUAAUUAUUUAAGCUGGUACCAGCAGAAACCAGAGAGACCUCCUAAGCCCCUGAUCUACUAUGCAUCCAACUUGGAAAAUGGAGUGCCAUCAAGGUUCAGUGGCAGUGGAUCUGGAACAGAUUUCAGUCUCACCAUCAGCAGCCUUGAGCCUGAAGACACUGCAAUUUAUUUCUGUCUACAGACUAGAAAGUUGCCUCUCACAGUGAUACAAGUCAUAACAUAA